rnacentral:lncRNA from 1 species
CUAAUAACUUAAACUCUAACAUUUGGGUGUUGGUGGUCUGAGUCUAAAAAGUUAUUGUGCCAAUAAUAUUAAAGUCUAGGAUGUAUGAUGGUACAAGAGCAUGUGCUAACUUCGUGGCUCCGAACUAGUGUAGUUUCAAUAUUGUGAACUUUUGGAUUAUAAUUUUUGGUUGUGAUGUAUGACCUUAAUGAGAACUUAAAAAAAAAAAAGAAUGU